AACCCAAUCAGCCGUCACUAUCAAAUUCAAAAAGGCAAUGGAGGCAUCAAGGUUGAAUGAACUGAAGCAAUUCAUUCAACACUGCAAAUCCGAUCCUUCAAUUCUCUCUGAUCCUUCGCUUUCCUUCUUCACUGAUUACAUUCAAAGUCAUAAAAUUUGUAGUUCUGUACAGCGGCAGAGUUAGAAUUUUGAAUUUAUGAGUUUAUAGGCAUUCUGAAUCCUUGGUGGUAAGCUUCCUUCGUCAGCUGGAGAAUACAAAGCGAAAUCUCGUGUGGUGGAUGAGAGUGAUGAUGAAAUGAGUGGUGUCGAGGACGAGGAGGAUGAAAAAGGGGCUUCUGAAGAAGAAGAAAAUCCUGAGAUAAUUGAGUCUGAUAUUGAACUUGAUGAGAGUGACAUUGUGGACCCUGACAAUGAUGAGCCACAGCAGAUGGGAGAUCCUUCUGUGGAGGUUACUGAAGAAAGCCGUGAUGCUUCUCAAGCGGCCAAAUCUCAGGCCAUGGAAGCGAUUUCUGAAGUAAGCUAGAGGAAGCAAGUGAACUUCUGACAAAGGCGGUUCUCCUCAACCCAAUAUCAGCCAUUAUGUAUGCGACCUGAGCCACUGUAUGCAUCAAAAUGAAGAAGCCAAAUGCCGCCAUACGAGAUGCAAAUGCAGCCUUAGAGGUUGGUCUUGCCAUUUGAUUUGCUUGCUGCUAAUCUGAUUCUGGUCUUCUUUUUUUAUCUGUUAAAAUUAACCCGCCUUGAGUGUUUUUACUGCUCAGAAAGUAUUAGCCUUUAUUGUGAAAGUAUCCUGAAGAGCUCAGCAUGUAUAUUCUGUUGAAGUGUGUGACCUCUCAUCUAACAAUUUAUGUGGCUAGAGAGAGCCCAAUUACAUUCAUUAGUUACGUCUUUCAA